CCGGGACGGACGACGCGCACUCGCCGAGGGACUGCGCACUCUGGGCGCGGGGCGGGGCGGAGCGGACCUGCCCGACCUGGCGGCCCCGCCUCCCGGCGCCGGUCGGGGCUGCUCACCUCUGCCCGUGGGUCCCCGCGAGCACAACUCUGAAACCUUCAAGAAAUGGGGCCUGGAAGAGCGAGUGAGGCGGCGAGGAAGAGGAACUUGGAAGAUAAAAGGAAUACAAAGAGAAGCGGAGAGCUAUCGAACCACAAAAAAAAAA